CGGACGGGUGAGUAAUGUAUGGGGAUCUGCCUGAUGGCGGGGGAUAACUACUGGAAACGGUAGCUAAUACCGCAUAAUGUCUACGGACCAAAGAGGGGGACCUUCGGGCCUCUUGCCAUCGGAUGUGCCCAGAUGGGAUUAGCUAGUAGGUGGGGUAACGGCUCACCUAGGCGACGAUCCCUAGCUGGUCUGAGAGGAUGACCAGCCACACUGGAACUGAGACACGGUCCAG
rnacentral:rRNA from 1 species